GAUGAACGCUGGCGGCGUGCCUAAUACAUGCAAGUCGAGCGAACGGACGAGAAGCUUGCUUCUCUGAUGCUAGCGGCGGACGGGUGAGUAACACGUGGAUAACCUACCUAUAAGACUGGGAUAACUUCGGGAAACCGUAGCUAAUACCGGAUAAUAUUUUGAACCGCAUGGUUCAAAAGUGAAAGACGGUCUUGCUGUCACUUAUAGAUGGAUCCGCGCUGCAUUAGCUAGUUGGUAAGGUAACGGCUUACCAAGGCAACGAUGCAUAGCCGACCUGAGAGGGUGAUCGGCCACACUGGAACUGAGAAACGGUCCAGACUCCUACGGGAGGCAGCAGUAGGGAAUCUUCAGCAAUGGGCGAAAGCCUGACGGAGCAACGCCGCGUGAGUGAUGAAGGUCUUCGGAUCGUAAAACUCUGUUAUUAGGGAAGAACAUAUGUGUAAGUAACUGUGCACAUCUUGACGGUACCUAAUCAGAAAGCCACGGCUAACUACGUG
rnacentral:rRNA from 1 species